rnacentral:rRNA from 1 species
UGCAUGUCUAAGUUCACACUGUCUCACGGUGAAACCGCGAAUGGCUCAUUAAAUCAGUCGAUGUUUAUUAGAUGAAAACUAUCCUACUUGGAUAACUGUGGCAAUUCUAGAGCUAAUACAUGCAACCAAGCUCCGACCCUCGUGGAAAGAGCGCUUUUAUUAGUUCAAAACCAAUCGUCGUACCCUUCGCGGGGUGCGGCGUACCCGAUUGGUGACUCUGGAUAACUUUGUGCUGAUCGCAUGGCCUUUGUGCUGGCGACGCAUCUUUCAAAUGUCUGCCCUAUCAAAUGUCGAUGGUACGUGAUAUGCCUACCAUGUUUGUAACGGGUAACGGGGAAUCAGGGUUCGAUUCCGGAGAGGGAGCAUGAGAA